rnacentral:rRNA from 1 species
CCUACGGGAGGCAGCAGUGAGGAAUAUUGGUCAAUGGACGUAAGUCUGAACCAGCCAUGCCGCGUGAAGGAUGACGGCUCUAUGGGUUGUAAACCGCUUUUGUAUGAGGGUAAAGACUCCUACGUGUCGGGGCUUGUAUGUAUCAUACGAAUAAGGAUCGGCUAACUCCGUGCCAGCAGUCGCGGUAAUACGGAGGAUCCGAGCGUUAUCCGGAUUUAUUGGGUUUAAAGGGUGCGUAGGCGGCUUGUUAAGUUAGCGGUGAAAUACCGGGGCUCAACAACGGAACUGCCGCUAAUACUGGGGAACUAGAGAGUAGUUGCGGUAGGCGGAAUGUAUGGUGUAGCGGUGAAAUGCUUAGAGAUCAUACAGAACACCGAUUGCGAAGGCAGCUUACCAAGCUAUGUCUGACGUUGAUGCACGAAAGCGUGGGUAGCAAACAGGAUUAGAUACCCCGGUAGUC